CCCGGCCGGGAGCGUAGGCCCGUUCGAACCUCCCACCCCCACCCCGUCGGACCGGAGGGGAGGGUACUGGACUUCAGUCCCAGCCCGCGGGGUCCAGAUGGCUUCCGUGCGUAUCCGAGAGGCGGAGGAGGGCGACUGUGGACAGAUCCUGAAGCUGAUUCGGGUGACGGCUGCGGGCCGGGAAGCCGGGGCCCGCGAGGGGGAACUGGCCGAGUACGAGAAACUCUCGGACCAGGUGCAGAUCAGCGAAGAAGCGCUGAGAGCGGAUGGCUUCGGAGAGAACCCUUUGUACCGCUGUUUGGUGGCAGACCUUCCUCCCGCCCCCGGGGACACGCAGGGGCCGCGCGUGGUGGGGUAUGGGCUGUAUUACUUCAUCUACAGCACAUGGAAGGGGCGCACCGUUUAUCUGGAAGACAUCUACGUGACCCCGGAAUAUCGGGGUCAGGGGAUUGGCUCCAAAAUAAUCAGAAGGGUGGCACAGGUGGCCCUGGAUCAGGGCUGUUCCCAGUUCCGCCUGGCCGUCCUGGACUGGAACCAGAGAGCCAUGGCAUUGUACAAGGCCCUGGGAGCCCAGGAUCUGACUGAAGCUGAGGGCUGGCAUGCCUUUACCUUUGACGGAGAGGCCAUGAGGAAGCUGGCGGGAAAGUGAGGCCGUUCCUUGAGGAUCUACGUAGUGGACCUUCUCUUUACCUCCCCUGCUCAAGCACUCCGCAGAGACACUUGUGUCCCCUGGCGCAGGCCUCUGAAGGAAGAGAGGUUGGGAGUAACUAUACCCCAAAUAUGGACAGAGCAGAAUUGGGGGAGAGGCCUUUCCACCUCCUUGUUGAGGUGAACUCUACACCGAGCAUGGGGCUCAAACUCAGGACC